rnacentral:rRNA from 1 species
AUUGAACGCUGGCGGCAGGCCUAACACAUGCAAGUCGAGCGGAUGAAGGGAGCUUGCUCCUGGAUUCAGCGGCGGACGGGUGAGUAAUGCCUAGGAAUCUGCCUGGUAGUGGGGGAUAACGUCCGGAAACGGGCGCUAAUACCGCAUACGGCCUGAGGGAGAAAGUGGGGGAUCUUCGGACCUCACGCUAUCAGAUGAGCCUAGGUCGGAUUAGCUAGUUGGUGGGGUAAAGGCCUACCAAGGCGACGAUCCGUAACUGGUCUGAGAGGAUGAUCAGUCACACUGGAACUGAGACACGGUCCAGACUCCUACGGGAGGCCGCAGUGGGGAAUAUUGGACAAUGGGCGAAAGCCUGAUCCAGCCAUGCCGCGUGUGUGAAGAAGGUCUUCGGAUUGUAAAGCACUUUAAGUUGGGAGGAAGGGCAGUAAGUUAAUACCUUGCUGUUUUGACGUUACCAACAGAAUAAGCACCGGCUAACUUCGUG